CCGUGCCAGCAGUCUAGCUGCUACGUUGUCUAUGAGUGGUUUGUAUAUCAUCUCUGCGUAGAGCCCUCUUGUGAAGUGGCAGGCCCAAAUAAGUGCGUGGGAAGGUGUUAAUCGGGCACCGGAACCAUCCUAUUAUUAUCUUGCUGCAUUGGUAAGUCCUCACAGCGUAUUGGAAAGGCUGUGCUUUUGCUUGUGCUUCUUCGCAGUCUAGAAGCCUGACCAAAUAUUUU
rnacentral:lncRNA from 1 species